rnacentral:rRNA from 1 species
GAUGAACGCUGGCGGCGUGCCUAAUACAUGCAAGUCGAGCGAACAGAUGAGGAGCUUGCUCCUCUGACGUUAGCGGCGGACGGGUGAGUAACACGUGGAUAACCUACCUAUAAGACUGGGAUAACUUCGGGAAACCGGAGCUAAUACCGGAUAAUAUAUUGAACCGCAUGGUUCAAUAGUGAAAGACGGUUUUGCUGUCACUUAUAGAUGGAUCCGCGCCGCAUUAGCUAGUUGGUAAGGUAACGGCUUACCAAGGCAACGAUGCGUAGCCGACCUGAGAGGGUGAUCGGCGACACUGGAACUGAGACACGGUCCAGACUCCUACGGGAGGCAGCAGUAGGGAAUCUUCCGCAAUGGGCGAAAGCUUGACGGAGCAACGGCGCGUGAGUGAUGAAGGUCUUCGGAUCGUAAAACUCUGUUAUUAGGGAAGAACAAAUGUGUAAGUAACUAUGCACGUCUUGACGGUACCUAAUCAGAAAGCCACGGCUAACUACGUG